rnacentral:rRNA from 1 species
GCAGCAUUUCAGUUUGCUUGCAAACUGGAGAUGGCGACCGGCGCACGGGUGAGUAACACGUAUCCAACCUGCCGAUAACUCGGGGAUAGCCUUUCGAAAGAAAGAUUAAUACCCGAUGGUAUAAUCAGACCGCAUGGUCUUGUUAUUAAAGAAUUUCGGUUAUCGAUGGGGAUGCGUUCCAUUAGGCAGUUGGUGAGGUAGCGGCUCACCAAACCUUCGAUGGAUAGGGGUUCUGAGAGGAAGGUCCCCCACAUUGGAACUGAGACACGGUCCAAACUCCUACGGGAGGCAGCAGUGAGGAAUAUUGGUCAAUGGGCGCAGGCCUGAACCAGCCAAGUAGCGUGAAGGAUGACUGCCCUAUGGGUUGUAAACUUCUUUUAUAUGGGAAUAAAGUUUUCCACGUGUGGAAUUUUGUAUGUACCAUAUGAAUAAGGAUCGGCUAACUCCGUGCCAGCAGCCGCGGUAAUACGGAGGAUCCGAGCGUUAUCCGGAUUUAUUGGGUUUAAAGGGAGCGUAGGUGGACAGUUAAGUCAGUUGUGAAAGUUUGCGGCUCAACCGUAAAAUUGCAGUUGAUACUGGCUGUCUUGAGUACAGUAGAGGUGGGCGGAAUUCGUGGUGUAGCGGUGAAAUGCUUAGAUAUCACGAAGAACUCCGAUUGCGAAGGCAGCUCACUGGACUGCA